rnacentral:rRNA from 1 species
GACGAACGCUGGCGGCAUGCCUAACACAUGCAAGUCGAACGGAGAUUAUUUCGGUAAUCUUAGUGGCGAACGGGUGAGUAACGCGUAGGCAACCUGCCCUUUAGUUGGGGACAACAUCCCGAAAGGGGUGCUAAUACCGAAUGUGACAGUUUUUCCGCAUGGGAUUACUGUGAAAGAUGGCCUCUAUUUAUAAGCUAUCGCUAAAGGAUGGGCCUGCGUCUGAUUAGCUAGUUGGUGGGUAACGGCCUACCAAGGCGACGAUCAGUAGCCGGUCUGAGAGGAUGAACGGCCACAUUGGGACUGAGACACGGCCCAGACUCCUACGGGAGGCAGCAGUGGGGAAUCUUCCGCAAUGGGCGAAAGCCUGACGGAGCAAUGCCGCGUGAGUGAUGAAGGAAUUCGUUCCGUAAAGCUCUUUGUUAUGAAGAAGGAUAGAGGUAGUAACUGGCCUUUAUUUGACGGUAAUCAACCAGAAAAGUCACGGCUAACUACGUG